GGCUCCUUGGUCUAGGGGUA
rnacentral:miRNA from 1 species